rnacentral:rRNA from 1 species
GAUGAACGCUGGCGGCGUGCCUAAUACAUGCAAGUCGAGCGAACAGACGAGGAGCUUGCUCCUUUGACGUUAGCGGCGGACGGGUGAGUAACACGUGGAUAACCUACCUAUAAGACUGGGAUAACUUCGGGAAACCGGAGCUAAUACCGGAUAACAUGUUGAACCGCAUGGUUCAACAGUGAAAGACGGUCUUGCUGUCACUUAUAGAUGGAUCCGCGCCGCAUUAGCUAGUUGGUAAGGUAACGGCUUACCAAGGCAACGAUGCGUAGCCGACCUGAGAGGGUGAUCGGCCACACUGGAACUGAGACACGGUCCAGACUCCUACGGGAGGCAGCAGUAGGGAAUCUUCCGCAAUGGGCGAAAGCCUGACGGAGCAACGCCGCGUGAGUGAAGAAGGUCUUCGGAUCGUAAAACUCUGUUAUUAGGGAAGAACAAAUGUGUAAGUAACUAUGCACGUCUUGACGGUACCUAAUCAGAAAGCCACGGCUAACUACGUGCCAGCAGCCGCGGUAAUACGUAAGUGGCAAGCGUUAUCCGGAAUUAUUGGGCGUAAAGCGCGCGUAGGCGGUUUUUUAAGUCUGAUGUGAAAGCCCACGGCUCAACCGUGGAGGGUCAUUGGAAACUGGAAAACUUGAGUGCAGAAGAGGAAAGUGGAAUUCCAUGUGUAGCGGUGAAAUGCGCAGAGAUAUGGAGGAACACCAGUGGCGAAGGCGACUUUCUGGUCUGUAACUGACGCUGAUGUGCGAAAGCGUGGGGAUCAAACAGGAUUAGAUACCCUGGUAGUCCACGCCGUAAACGAUGAGUGCUAAGUGUUAGGGGGUUUCCGCCCCUUAGUGCUGCAGCUAACGCAUUAAGCACUCCGCCUGGGGAGUACGACCGCAAGGUUGAAACUCAAAGGAAUUGACGGGGACCCGCACAAGCGGUGGAGCAAGUGGUUUAAUUCGAAGCAACGCGAAGAACCUUACCAAAUCUUGACAUCCUCUGACCCCUCUAGAGAUAGAGUUUUCCCCUUCGGGGGACAGAGUGACAGGUGGUGCAUGGUUGUCGUCAGCUCGUGUCGUGAGAUGUUGGGUUAAGUCCCGCAACGAGCGCAACCCUUAAGCUUAGUUGCCAUCAUUAAGUUGGGCACUCUAAGUUGACUGCCGGUGACAAACCGGAGGAAGGUGGGGAUGACGUCAAAUCAUCAUGCCCCUUAUGAUUUGGGCUACACACGUGCUACAAUGGACAAUACAAAGGGUAGCGAAACCGCGAGGUCAAGCAAAUCCCAUAAAGUUGUUCUCAGUUCGGAUUGUAGUCUGCAACUCGACUACAUGAAGCUGGAAUCGCUAGUAAUCGUGGAUCAGCAUGCUACGGUGAAUACGUUCCCGGGUCU